CACGUUUUCCGCGCCGUAGCUAACGCAUUAAGUGCCCCGCCUGGNGAGUACGGCCGCAAGGCUAAAACUCAAAGGAAUUGACGGGGGCCCGCACAAGCGGCGGAGCAUGCGGAUUAAUUCGAUGCAACGCGAAGAACCUUACCAAGGCUUGACAUGAACCGGAAAGACCUGGAAACAGGUGCCCCGCUUGCGGUCGGUUUACAGGUGGUGCAUGGUUGUCGUCAGCUCGUGUCGUGAGAUGUUGGGUUAAGUCCCGCAACGAGCGCAACCCUCGUUCUAUGUUGCCAGCACGUGAUGGUGGGGACUCAUAGGAGACUGCCGGGGUCAACUCGGAGGAAGGUGGGGACGACGUCAAAUCAUCAUGCCCCUUAUGUCUUGGGCUUCACGCAUGCUACAAUGGCCGGUACAAAGGGUUGCGAUACUGUGAGGUGGAGCUAAUCCCAAAAAGCCGGUCUCAGUUCGGAUUGGGGUCUGCAACUCGACCCCAUGAAGUCGGAGUCGCUAGUAAUCGCAGAUCAGCAACGCUGCGGUGAAUACGUUCCCGGGCCUUGUACACACCGCCCGUCAAGUCACGAAAGUUGGUAACACCCGAAGCCGGUGGCCUAACCCCUUGUGGGAGGGAGCUGUCGAAGGUGGGACUGGCGAUUGGGACUAAGUCGUAACAAGGUAGCCGUACCGGAAGGUGCG
rnacentral:rRNA from 1 species